CAACUCCCUCCUGGGGAUCCCAAGGUCAUGAACGACGCCGGGAGGAGAUAAACAGUGAAGGGAAAUCUACUGCGUGCUACUGAAGGAUAAUGAACUUCAUGGAUACUUCCCAUAAGACUUCUAUCCCUUUGUUCUGAUAAAAAAGUUGCAACGCUAAUUUAAUUUAUAACUUUCCUGAGAAACUGAAUAAAAUGCAUAACUAGAA